rnacentral:rRNA from 1 species
UGGGGAAUUUUGGACAAUGGGCGAAAGCCUGAUCCAGCAAUGCCGCGUGUGUGAAGAAGGCCUUCGGGUUGUAAAGCACUUUUGUCCGGAAAGAAAUCCUUGGCUCUAAUACAGUCGGGGGAUGACGGUACCGGAAGAAUAAGCACCGGCUAACUACGUGCCAGCAGCCGCGGUAAUACGUAGGGUGCAAGCGUUAAUCGGAAUUACUGGGCGUAAAGCGUGCGCAGGCGGUUUGCUAAGACCGAUGUGAGAUCCCCGGGCUCAACCUGGGAACUGCAUUGGUGACUGGCAGGCUAGAGUAUGGCAGAGGGGGGUAGAAUUCCACGUGUAGCAGUGAAAUGCGUAGAGAUGUGGAGGAAUACCGAUGGCGAAGGCAGCCCCCUGGGCCAAUACUGACGCUCAUGCACGAAAGCGUGGGGAGCAAACAGGAUUAGAUACCCUGGUAGUCCACGCCCUAAACGAUGUCAACUAGUUGUGGGAUUCAUUCCUUAGUAACGUAGCUAACGCGUGAAGUUGACCGCCUGGGGAGUACGGUCGCAAGAUUAAAACUUAAAGGAAUUGACGGGGUCAUAGCUGUUUCCU